GCGGGUAUAGUAUAGUGGUAGUGCAUCGGCUUCCCAAGCCUAAAGUGAGGGUUCGAUUCCCUUUACCCGCUCCA
rnacentral:tRNA from 1 species